AUGCCAAACGAACCCUAUCCUCACCCUCUUUCUCUCUCUUUCCCUUUCCUCGCAAACCCUAAAGCUGCCGCCUAUACUCUAUCUCGCCUAAAAAUGGUAAUCACAGAUAGGACAGAAGAUACGCACUUUUUCAGAGUCAUUUACAUGAAAUAAUUAAUUUCAAGCUUUGUUUUCACUUGAAUCUCUCCCAAACGCGGAAGCACUCAGGCUUUCAAGUUCGUUCUUGUACACGGCUGCACAUCAAAAAGGGUAAGCCUUUAUCAUUUUCUUGCCCCCCUUUAUAUGUUCAGUUUAAUAUAAUGUUUAGCUAAUUCUUAAUGUGAUGUUUGUUGGAGUAAUAGUGUAGAAAUAUUCAGCUUAUGGCUAAUGUGAUAUUUAGCUAGUUAUUAACAUGGUGCUGGCUGAAGUAAUGGCAUAAAAAUCCUCAAUUCAUGCUUAGUGUAAUGUUUAGCUAGUUAUUACUAAGGUGUUUUGUUGGGGUAAGGGUAUGAGAUGCUUGCAGAAACUAAACAAUGGCUUAGCUUGAUAGUGUGUUAGGCACUGAGGUGUAUUUGAACUCUUAACUGAACCUUGAAUGCUGUGUAGUCCUUUAAACACUUAAAAUGUUGGCAUAUGGUCCUGAAUAUGACAACUUAAGUCUGUAUUGAUGGGUACUGAAUAGAUUUAGCCCUAUUUGGAUAAACUCACUGUUGUUAAGUUAGUAUUAGACAAUAAUCAAAAUCAUAACCAUGAUAAAAAGGAGUUUAGAAGGGGCCUGAACUAAUUGUGAGACUGUUAAGGUGAAAGGUGUGGACUAAAUAUAGGUCAUUGAUUGUUAAUAAUGAAUUAGGAAGAUAAAUUGCCUUAUAAGAUUGAUCUCUUUAGUAUCUAAGAUAAAGUAGGAGAGGGGAAGGGAGAGAUGAAGCUAUUUAGAUCUGUAUGACCUUGGCAUAUGUACUGUUUAUUGAUAUGAAUAGUUCUACCUAAAGUCCAACCUAUUAAUGGUCUAAAUUACUGAGUCACUAGUCAUAGUAAUGUACUGUUUAUUAAUAUUUGCUCCGUGGUCUGCUUGAUAACAUAAAUAUCUUGCUUUCUGUUGGUCUGUGCAUUUGUAUAUUAUCUCUUGGGACUUGUUUGAGGUUAAUACUCUGCUUAUGAGAACCUAAUUGUGCUAAGAAUCUUAAGAGUUUAUCUAUGUUGGAAGUUUGAGAGAUCAGUAUUGAAAGCUAAAAUUAGAUCCUAGUCUGUCUGAUUACUUGCCUACAUGUUUUCUCUUCUUUUCUUGAAUGACACUGGUUUCCAUCCAUGUGUGUGAUUGUUCCAUGUCUGAGGUCUGUAAAAGAAUCUUAGUUAAAUACCAAACCUGAAUUCAUGCUUUAAAUCAUAAAGUUCCUGCAUAGUCUUGUUCAAAGUUAACCGGAUCAAUGAAAACCUGCUUGCAAUGUCCAUUCUUGAACUAUUUUGAGCCUUUGAUCUGAAUUUUGAUAAUUGGUCUAUAUUGUGUCAUUGCUUGAAUCUUUGCCUUCUUGCAUCUAUGAGAAUACACUGUCUGUUUGUUUAAUUACCAUUGCUUGACUAUCUAGUUGUAUAAAUCUCUGGGACUUGGUUGGAUAGACCUUAUGACAUGGCAUGACCUGUAGAAAGCUUAGACCAAUUUGUGAUGGUUCUGUGAAGUUAAAAUGACUCAAGGAGCCUACUAAUGACAAGCUGACCCAUGUUGUGACUCUAAAUAACUUAAUGAGACCUUAGUGGUGAGAAAUGAUCAUAAUCCUAGCUUAAAUGACUGUCUGUUUAUGUGUACAUGCAUUUGAGCUUGGUUGAAUUCUUGGUUGUGGACAAUUUAAGUGUCAAGUUUUCCAUAUGAUCAUAAGGGGCUGAAAGUGAGCUAAGACCACAUAGCCUAAGAUGAUCAUUUUUAAAAGGUGCCCUGGAGAAAGGAUUAAGGGAGAACCAAGCCUUGCUUUGUUCAUAACACCUCUUCUUCACAUAAAGGGCACCAUGACACUUCUAUGGCCUGUGGGGGUGCAUACUUACUGUAAAGGACCUUGGAGUCAUAUGGAUUCUACCAUUGGACCAAAAAAAUCCUAGAUUAGAUUUAAGGAUGCACUUAGGAAUAACUUGCUGAGACUAAGUGGGUAAUCCGGGUGCAUGUGUAUGCUUAAAUUAGACACACAAAAGGAAGAACUUAAAAGAAGCAUGAAAUCUAAAUAUUUAAGUACUGAACCAUUAGGAUCACUGGAGUUAUGUGAUUCGUUUUUCUUUAAGGAUUCUGCUAAAGAAGCAUGUUUGUGUUUUUUUUUUCUCUUUGCAUCCUCUUCAUCUGUCCUGGGCUUACAUUUGUGUAUGAAUCCUGCAAAUACUUGUCACAUAUUGCUGUCACUAAAUAAACUUAACUCGAAUUUAAAAAGGUAAUCCUGUACCAUCUUCAUGUACUUAGACUUUUCUGUGCUUUGUUUUACUUGUGCUAUGUUUGUUUGUCCUAUUUGCAGUUGCCUCUUUUUUGUAUAUUACCACAUCCUACAUAUAAUCAUCUAGAUUUAGAUGGAUUUUCCAUCCUGUGUUGUGUAAAAUACAUAAUCUUUCCAUUCUUGCAUUAUUAAAACUGUGAAGUAGUCUCUAAAUCCUAGUUCAAUAUGGCUCCUCCCCCCCCACCCCCCAAAACCCCCCAAUAUGUAAGCAUGCCAGAAUUUGAGUGCUGAUCCCCAUAUAUCACUAUGUAAUUCAUCUAGUUUUUGGUAGUUAUUCGACGCUCGAAGUAUAGUCUUUGUACAAAGUAAGAAUCAUUCUUGGUAAAUUUUAAAGAUAAAGAUUAGGCCAAUUAGCUGAGAUAGGAGUUCUGGGAUUUGUUCUAAGGCUGCAUAUACACGAGAUAUAAACUAGGUCCUUAGAAAGUGACAGGUAUACACUUGAUACACAUGUGAUAUACAAAUCAUGUGCACAAGCUCUUAGUAUACUAUGAAACAGGCUAAAAUAUACAUAGGGUAUACAUAUUGAUGAAGUAAAAAGAAAAACCUGUUAAGCCAUUGAUCAUCGUCUGGGUUCAUAUUUGAAAGUAGAUGGACCUGGCCCAGUUUAUUUUCAUGACAGAGGAUAAGAAAUAAUUAUGCCUAGCCCGAAGUGAAAUUAGAAGUGUUCUGAUUUCUUUCAGCCCAGUAUUGGCCCGCUAAGGUCCAGUAGCACAUAUGUAUGCGUAUAAGUGUUGUAUUAUUUGUAAAUUAUAUGUGUAUAUGCAUAUGUAUACUUCUAUAUAUGAUAAGUUUAGUAAAUAAAAACUAACCAGGUCCCUCUUCCUUUUCCUCUCCCCACUGCAUGGCCACUCGAGCCGAGUCAAAAUCCACCGAUUGGGUCAAGGCCCAACAGGAAUUCUUUCGCAAUAUGAUAGAGUCCAAUGAAGAAAGGGAAGCUAAUAUUAUAAAUAUACACAGAAGGCCCAGCCAUAGGUGAAAAUGACCAACUAGGGGCUUGAUACGCCCUUAGCCUGCCCCUUCUCUUUAUUUAUUCUGCAUUUUAUCAUCCCUAAGUUUGUUGUAUUUGUAUUUACAUUACUUGUAAAAAAUUCAUAUAUGUUAUUGGAAUCCUUAUUGUUUGAA